rnacentral:rRNA from 1 species
AUGUGUAAAACAGACGGACUGGAUAAAGUCCUCAUAGUGCUCGUCCACCGUUCGGCAUUUUCGAGUUCGAGUGGUACUACUUUACAGUGCCCGUCCAGCUGGUUGUUACCUGAGACCUACUACUGUGAUUCGCAAAAGCUAAUUUCCAAAACUCAUGUCAUGCCUGGCAUUUGCAGCGUAGCUGAAGGCAUACCGGCCGGUGGGGGAUUUUGUCGAAGUUCGCGUCUCAAAGGCUCGCAAUCAGGCGCACUGGCGACAGCAGCACAGCCUGCUCCCGUCCCCACCGGACUAAGUAACAUUGAUAGUAACAUCACAUAUAUCUAG